AUGCCCCGCAUUCCCCUCUGCAACUCCACCAUGCCCAUGUCCCGCAUCGGCCUCCGCCGCCGCCGACUUUCCUCCUCCUUCUCCACCUCCACCUCCACCGCGCGAUCCUCACGGUCAUGGUCUCCCCACGCCGCAUUUGCCGCGGCCACGGAGCGCGUCCGCGCCGGGACGCUCAGCCCGGAGGACGCACACCACCUGUUCGACCAAUUGCUACGGCAGGACACUCCGGUCCAGGAGCGCUCCCUGGGCGGCUUCCUUGCCGCCCUCGCCCGUGCGCCAGACUCAGCUUCCUGCAGAGAUGGCCCCUCCCUCGCCCUCUCCCUCUUCAACCGCGUAUGCCGAGAAGAAGCAGGCCGGCGGGUGGCGCCGCCCACAGCCUACACCUACGCCAUCCUGAUGAACUGCUGCUGCCGCGUGCGUCGUCCAGACCUAGGGCUUGCCUUAUUUGGCCGCCUCCUAAGGACAGGCCUCAAAACAAAUGAGAUCGUCGCCAACACCCUCCUCAAGUGCCUCUUGCUGCGCAAAACGGACAGACGAGGCUUUCUUAAGAGCUUAUGUGAUAAUAGCAGCAGCCAGCGGGCGCUCGACCUCCUUCAGAUGAUGACGAAAGGAGGUGGCUGCUCCCCUGACGUAGUGACAUACAACACGGUCAUCCAUGGCUUCCUGCAGGAAGGGGAAGUAAGCAAGGCAUGCGAUCUAUACCAUGAAAUGGUGCAGCAAGGGGUUUUGCAUGAUGUGGUGACAUAUAAUUCGAUUCUUGAUGCGCUGUGCAAGGCAGGAGCUAUGGACAAGGCUGAGUUGUUCCUUCGGCAGAUGGUUGAUGAUGAUAUUCGACCGAAUGAAGUGACAUAUAAUGCAAUGAUCCAUGGAUAUUCCACUUUGGGCCAGUGGAAAAAGGCGACUCAAAUGUUUAGAGAAAUGACAAGCCGUGGUCUUGCUCCAAAUAUUGUUACUUGGAGCUCGUUGAUGACCUCCCUCUGCAAGCAUGGAAGAAGCAAAGAAGCUGCAGAAAUUUUUCAUUCCAUGGCUGCAAAAGGCCACAAGCCUAAUAUCGUUACGUAUCGUGUUCUGCUUCACGGGUAUGCCGCUGAAGGAUUCUUUGCAGAUAUGAUUGAUCUCUUUAAUUCAAUGGCAAACAAUGGUAUUGUACCCGAUUGCCACGUUUUCAACAUAUUAAUUAAUGCAUAUGCUAAAUGUGGAAUGAUGGAUGAAGCUAUGUCAAUGCUUACUGAAAUGCGGGGACAAGGAGUGAGUCCGGAUGUGUUCACCUAUGCAACUGUAAUAGCUGCACUUUGCAGAAUGGGUAGGUUGACUGAUGCUAUGGACAAUUUUAAUCGGAUGAUUGGGAAGGGAGUACAACCGAGCAAAGUUGUUUAUCACUCCCUAAUUCAGGGUUUCUGUACGCAUGGUAAUCUGGUGAAAGUGAAGGAGUUGAUUUUUGGAAUGACGGACAAAGGUAUUCCUCACCCUAACAUUGUCUUCUUCAGUUCAAUAAUGCAUAGUCUGUGCAACGAAGGAAGGGUUAUGGAUGCACACCAUAUCUUUGACUUGGUUAUAGACAUUGGUGAGAGACCUGAUCUCAUUACGUUUAAUACGCUGAUUGACGGAUAUUGCUUAGUCAGCAAGAUGGAGGAAGCACUCCGACUACUUGAUUCCAUGGUAUCAGCUGGCAUUAAGCCAAAUGUGAUUACAUAUAAUACACUUAUUAAUGGCUAUUGUAGGAGUGGAAGGCUCGAUGAUGGCGUUAUUCUAUUCAGAGAAAUGUUGCAUACCAGAGUUAAACCUAACACUGUUACAUAUAACAUCAUACUGGAUGGGUUAUUUCGUGCUGGAAGAACUGUUGCUGCGAAGAAGAUGUUCCAUGAGAUGAUCGAAACUGGAACAGCAGUGAGCAUUUCCACAUACAGCAUAGUUCUUGGAGGACUUUGUAGGAAUAACUGCACCGAUGAAGCAAUCACUUUUUUCCAGAAAUUAGUUGCAAUGAAUGUGAAGUCCGAUAUUGCGAUACUCAAUACCAUGAUUAAGGCAAUGUACAAGGUUCAGAGAAGAGAAGAAGCUAACGAUUUGUUUGCUUCAUUACCAGCCUAUGGACUGGUGCCUAAUGCUGCUACUUACAGAGUAAUGAUAAGCAAUCUUUUGAAAGAAGGAUCAUUGGAAGAAGCUGACAAUAUGUUCUCGUCAAUGGAGAAAAGUGGUUGUGCUCCAAGCUCUCGUCUUCAUGAGGAUGUUGGAAUUGAAAAGCCUCCUGAUCUACAGAUCCCAUGGAUUCUACCAAGCCAGCCCGAGGGUCUACAGACUGGCUCGUUCUUCUCAUCGCGGCCAGUUUUACUGAAGAUCCUACCUUGUGGUGAUCUCAUGGAUACCGCCGACCCAGCCUGGGGGUCUACAGCCUCUGACUUGCUCAUUCAUCUCAUCGUGGGCCACCUCACCCACCACGUUCAUCAGGGAAUGGGGAGGAUUGCGAGGACUGCCACAUGCGCAUCAAUAGAGGACCGGCAGGGAAGAGGGACCUGUUGGUGCGGCGGGGCAACAGGAAGUGGCUAUCCAUCAGGGUGCAACAUCACGGUGUUGAGGCGGCUGCCACAGAGCCACCGCUGA
rnacentral:rRNA from 1 species